AAGCUCUUGUGGAAAGAGGUGAAGGACUGCUGGCCCUGAGGCGGUCUCUGCUCAAGCCCACCUGGUGGAGGUCAGGAAUGGGGCCCGGGUGUUUGGGGUCAGAAGAUGGUGAGUGUCAGCUCCAUCUUUUCUGCCUGCGAGAACUCACAGAAGUCAUUUAAUCUCCAAAACCUCAGCUCCUCGUCUCUGCAAUGGCGGUAAUAUGAAGACAGUCAUAUUAUCUACAAAUACAUCCACAAAACGACUUUCUUAACAUAGAAGUACUACUGCAUAUAAAACAGAUAAACAACAAGGACCUACUUUAUGGCACAGGAAUCUCUAGUCAACAUCGUGUAACAACCAAUAUUGGAAAAGAAUCUGGAAAACAAUAUUAUAUAUAUAUCUACAUCUGAAUCACUUUGUUAUAUACCUGAAACUAACACAACAUUGUAAAUCAACUACACUUCAAUUUUUUAAAAAUCAUUCUCUUCCUUUCCAAUUGGUAUGCCUUUUUUUUUUCCCCUUGCCUUAGUGCACUGGCUAAGAUGCCCAGUACAAUGUUGAACAGAAGUGGUGAGAGUAUACUUCCUUGACUUAUUCUCAUUCUUUUUUUCUUUCUUUUUAAAAAAAAUUGUCUACCCAUAACUCAUCUAUUUUGUAAGUGGAAGUUUGUACCUCUUAAUCGCCCUCGCUUGCUUCUCUUAUUCCUACGGGGACAGGGUUAGUGUGUCACCAUUAACUGUGAUACUACCUGCAGAUUUUUCACUGAUGUCCUCCUUCAGGUGGAAGAGGUUCCCUUCUAGUCCUAGUUUCCUGAGAGUGUUGAGUUUUGUCAAAGGUGUUUUCUCUGUUCAUUGUGAUGAUCACAUGAUUUUCUCUCAUAUGCUAUAAUUUAUUAAAUUACAAUGAUUAAUUGUCACACAUUUAAAGAAUUGUACAUUCUCGGGAUUAAUCCCACUUGUUGCUGGAUUUAAUGUGAUGAUAUUUUGCUAAUGA